CAGUAGCCGCGGGAAUACGUAGGGUGCGAGCGUUAAUCGGAAUUACUGGGCGUAAAGCGUGCGCAGGCGGUGAUGUAAGACCGAUGUGAAAUCCCCGGGCUUAACCUGGGAACUGCAUUGGUGACUGCAUUGCUAGAGUAUGGCAGAGGGGGGUGGAAUUCCACGUGUAGCAGUGAAAUGCGUAGAGAUGUAGAGGAACACCGAUGGCGAAGGCAGCCCCCUGGGCCAAUACUGACGCUCAUGCACGAAAGCGUGGGGAGCAAACAGGAUUAGAUACCCCCGUAGUCCCUGUCUCUUAUAC
rnacentral:rRNA from 1 species